rnacentral:rRNA from 1 species
GACGAACGCUGGCGGCGUGCUUAACACAUGCAAGUCGAACGGAAAGGCCCUGCUUUUGUGGGGUGCUCGAGUGGCGAACGGGUGAGUAACACGUGAGUAACCUGCCCUUGACUUUGGGAUAACUUCAGGAAACUGGGGCUAAUACCGGAUAGGAGCUCCUGCUGCAUGGUGGGGGUUGGAAAGUUUCGGCGGUUGGGGAUGGACUCGCGGCUUAUCAGCUUGUUUGUGGGGUAGUGGAUUACCAAGGCUUUGACGGGUAGCCGGCCUGAGAGGGUGACCGGCCACAUUGGGACUGAGAUACGGCCCAGACUCCUACGGGAGGCAGCAGUGGGGAAUAUUGCACAAUGGGCGGAAGCCUGAUGCAGCAACGCCGCGUGCGGGAUGACGGCCUUCGGGUUGUAAACCGCUUUCGCCUGUGACGAAGCGUGAGUGACGGUAAUGGGUAAAGAAGCACCGGCUAACUACGUG